UUAAUAAUUUAUAUAUAAUAUUUUAUGAUAUUUAUAUAAUAUUAACAUAAUUCAUAUUACUAUUAUUAUUAGUAUAUGAAAUUUUACUUUGAGAAAAUUAGAGUGCUUAAAGCAGGCUUUUGCCUUGAAUACUCCAGCAUGGAAUAAUAUAAAAGAUUUUUAUCUUUUUUAUUGGUUCUAAGAUAAAAAUAAUGAUUAGUAGGGACAGUUGGGGGCAUUUGUAUUUAACAGUCAGAGGUGAAAUUCUUAGAUUUGUUAAAGACAAACUAGUGCGAAAGCAUUUGCCAAGGAUGUUUUCAUUAAUCAAGAACGAAAGUUAGGGGAUCGAAGACGAUCAGAUACCGUCGUAGUCUUAACCAUAAACUAUGCCAACUAGAGAUUGGAGGUUGUU
rnacentral:rRNA from 1 species